rnacentral:rRNA from 1 species
GACGAACGCUGGCGGCGUGCCUAAUACAUGCAAGUCGAACGAGAGCGACCGGUGCUUGCACUGGUCAAUCUAGUGGCGAACGGGUGAGUAACACGUGGGUAACCUGCCCAUCAGAGGGGGAUAACAUCCGGAAACGGAUGCUAAAACCGCAUAGGUCUUCGAACCGCAUGGUUUGAAGAGGAAAAGAGGCGCAAGCUUCUGCUGAUGGAUGGACCCGCGGUGCAUUAGCUAGUUGGUGAGGUAACGGCUCACCAAGGCCGUGAUGCAUAGCCGACCUGAGAGGGUGAUCGGCCACAUUGGGACUGAGACACGGCCCAAACUCCUACGGGAGGCAGCAGUAGGGAAUCUUCCGCAAUGGACGCAAGUCUGACGGAGCAACGCCGCGUGAGUGAAGAAGGUUUUCGGAUCGUAAAACUCUGUUGUUAGAGAAGAACAAGUGCUAGAGUAACUGUUAGCGCCUUGACAGUAUCUAACCAGAAAGCCACGGCUAACUACGUG